ensembl:lncRNA
CUGUGUUUGAGCCAGUCGCCUGUUCUUCUUCUUCUCCUCCUCCUCCUUCCGUCCAUCCCUCUAUCCCUCUCUCCUCUUUCAUCUCCUUCUCCCCCUUCUCCUCUCUCUGGAUGCGUAUACAUAUAUCCCGUCUUCGGGCUGAUAUAUGUAUGUCUUGACAUUUUUUUCCGGCUUUCAUUUUUCGUCCUUUUUGGGUUUGUCUUGAACAGAUUCAAAUGGAUUUUUUUUUCGUUUUCCAAGAGGGGAGAAUUUAGUUUUUUUGUCCUCCCGUCCCGCAACCUUUGCUCCUCCUUACUCCUACCCCGACUGCAUGCCUUCCAGCCUCCUGUCCUGACCGUCUCUCUACCCCCCCCUCUGUGUGUGUGCCUGCCUUCCCUGCUAUACCCAACCCCAACCAGGACCCCUUGAAGCUGCGCAGCUACAACUACAUCCUCCAGCACCCCCACCAAGGCAUCAACAAAACACCAGGACCCAGGAUGGAGGAGGGAAUAUUCUGCAGCGUUGCUCUUCUCUGCUUGCCUUUUUUUUUCCCCUUCUUCUCUCCUCUAGAGAAAGGAUGUAUAUAAUCGUACUAUUUCCUUCUUAUGCUACAUGUAUGCCUUACGUAUGCUUUAAGACAGGAAAACUUUACAAUUGAGUGCAGCGGUAGCAAUUAUAUAAAAAAGAGAUUUAAAUUUUGACUGCUAAAGAGGUGCUGGAUUUUAUUGACUUGGUUGCACAUUUAAUGUGUGUAUUUCGAAAACAUAGAUCUCUAUUUGUAUCUUCGUGGGUGUAUUCAAUUUGCGCGAUUCUGCCGAUAGCAAUCAGACGAUGGUGGUGGCCUUGUUGUCUAGCUCUACCUUUUCAGUAUGUACAUGCCUAUAGUUACAUGCGCAGAGUGAGCAGUGUGUGAGCGAGCGAGAGAGAGAGAGAGAGAGAGAGAGAGAGAGAGAGAGAGACAGAGGAGAGAUGGAGGAUGCAAGGGAGGGAGGGAGGGAGGGAGGGAGAGAGGAAGGGAUGCGAGGGGAGAGAGAUAACGACACAGCUUUAACCAACGGUAAGGAAGCACUGUUCUGUCGGGUUGAGCUGCAUGCCCCGGCUCUCUUUAACCAUUCCGUUUCCACGGUGAGGAUUGGUGGCCGUGAGCGGCUAUCGAUGUAUAUUUAGCCGUCCUCAUUUUCGUUUGCCGUGUGCGGAGUGUGAUCUGCAGGAAUGGCAGAAACCAGGUAGCUUGGCUGCUGAUGCUCUCUUAAUGGUGCAACAAAGGUAGCCUCCUCGCCUCUCCUCUCUCUAUGCUGCUCUCUUACUCUGGCGCUUUUUAAUGAUCGUUGGUGCUGUAGCAUGUGUUUGUGUACUGUACUGUACUGUACUGUACAGAUCGCCCUUAAUAACGCUGUGUAGCUACUGUCUGCUUUCAUGUGUUUUGAUGUAUUUCCGUCUUAAACAUUGUUGGCUUAACUGCUCUGUGCAACACGCAUCCACGCACACAGAACGCACGCACACACACACACAAACACACACACACACAGGUAUUUAGAAAGAUAACUCUUCUCAUUUAUAGAUAUUAUAUUGCUAUCAUGGCAUGUGUCCUGUUCUCUGUGAUGUGCAUGUGUAUAUUUCUUCCUUUUUUUUCUAUAUUUGUGCAAAGCACAUCGUCUUUGCAUUGACGUGUGAAAUGGCAUGUUGGCGUGUGACUAGCAUGCACUGUUCUUUAAGGUGCAACAAAAAGGACUGCAUAGCCGCUGCCGAUCCUGCAGGGGGAACAGAUGACAGGGGAGGAGGGAAGAGAGAGAGAGAGAGAGAGAGACAGAAGGAGUCAAAGACAAAGCAUGGAUGAACUAAAAACAUCAAAGAUCAGUAUGGAGCCCCUUUGUGUUUGCGUGUGUUUUGAGGGACAGUUUGAGUUAUAUUGCAAAACCAACCAGGUGUAAAGAUCAGAUAGAUUCCCUCUGAAGAGAUGGAGGCAGCAGAGUGGUGCACUGACCAGAGUACUGCUGCAAAAUCAGGUCAAGCGAGAAGAAAAAAAAAAAAGAAAACAGCAGGGAAAGAGUGAGGUUCGGAAAGUUCUUUGGGUUUCAGCUCUUUGUGUUCACAGUGGACCUUGAUUUAAUUUCAAUACAAUUAAGGCACGCGGUGAAUGCCAAGAGAGAAGCCCCAGUCAUCGCUGAGACAUAUAUAGGAGUUUGCAAAACGACGGCUGCGUCAACACAGGUGAAUGAUAUAAUCGACAUGAUGUAAGGAGUACAUCACUGACCACUGGCCACUAAAGAAGGACGAGGAGGACAAUUGCAGACACUCAACCAGAAUAAAGCUUUGCUAUUCUAGUCUUAACAUCCCUUAUGUGCUUUACCUCUUAAACAAGGAUCACAAACAUGGGCUUCUGAUUAUAUAGUGUGUUGGCCACCAAGAGGCACAAACCCUAACCGUGCGAGAUAGAAAGAAACCAUUGGUUUCCACACAGGUCAUUGAGGUUGUUGCAAUGUCAGAGGAGAGAGUGCAGUAUGGGAUGGCUCUAUAAGAACAAGCGUUGGCUUGAUGGCCAAGUGGACAGAGGGCUCACAGCAGCGGGAGGCGGCCAUAGUGGUGCGAAGCCAAAUCAGAAGCCUGUCUGUUUAUGCUGAGUGUGCACGCGACACGUCCUAUAUUUGAGGAAGGACAGGGCUGUAGCCUUUAACAGGAGAGUGAGAGAGACUUAUACAGGAUUAAACACAGAUAUUACAGGACUAAAAACAUUCAGCUAUUUUUUGAACAGGACAAGUUUUUGGAUUUUGAUUCACUGAAUUGAGGUCGGAUGGAAUAAGUACUUAUCCCUUAUCCCAUGGGUCUUUUUUUUAUCCUAUGUCAACACACCAAUCUCAACAAUCUUUUACUUUUACUAUUAUUUUAUUUCAAUUCAAAACUUCAUUUUGUUGUUUUUUCGUAUGUAAAAAAAAAACCUAAUAAAGUAUGAACACCAUGACCUUUUUUUUUGGUUUAUUUUCUCCUAACUCCACCUUCAAAGAGCACACAACAGCUCCAGCAAACUAGGUAGCCUAAUAAUUCCUUAGACUAUUCCCUAUACUCUCUGAGCUGUGUCAAAGGAGACAUGCUCUGUAAAUACCCAUGGGCAAGAGAGAUGGUUGUUGACCUACAUCGCAAAAGAUGCCGGCAGAAUAAGCAAAGAAAUUGCUUGGAUUUCAAUCCACAUCACAUGGAUGUUGGAAAGAUGCUGUACUGUUCCCCAUUAUGGCCUGGUCACACUACAGACUCUGAAAUCAAUGACCGUGGAUAUGCCAUC